CGCUGGGGGCGCCGAAAGGCUGAGAUGGGCGGAGACGUCCGGUCCCUUGGAACCUGAAGUGGAUAAUCCCACCGUAGGGAAGCGGAG
rnacentral:ncRNA from 1 species